rnacentral:rRNA from 1 species
GACGAACGCUGGCGGCGUGCUUAACACAUGCAAGUCGAACGAUGAAGCCUAGCUUGCUAGGUGGAUUAGUGGCGAACGGGUGAGUAAUACGUGAGUGACCUACCUUUGACUCUGGGAUAAGCCUGGGAAACUGGGUCUAAUACCGGAUACGACCAAUCUCCGCAUGGGGUGCUGGUGGAAAGCGUUAUGGAGUGGUUUUAGAUGGGCUCACGGCCUAUCAGCUUGUUGGUGAGGUAAUGGCUUACCAAGGCGACGACGGGUAGCCGGCCUGAGAGGGUGACCGGCCACACUGGGACUGAGACACGGCCCAGACUCCUACGGGAGGCAGCAGUGGGGAAUAUUGCACAAUGGGCGCAAGCCUGAUGCAGCGACGCCGCGUGAGGGAUGACGGCCUUCGGGUUGUAAACCUCUGUUAGCAUCGAAGAAGCGAAAGUGACGGUAGGUGCAGAGAAAGCGCCGGCUAACUACGUG